CAGGACGCGCACUCAGACUCCUCUUGCUCUCUCUCGAAGACCUCUGAAAGAAACCACAGAAGAUGGCCCAGUUUAAUCUGUCCCCAGUCUGUCUGCUGCUCCUCCUGUCUCUGAGUCUCUUCAGUAUGCAGGCAGAUGCAGCAUGCUGCACUACAUAUUCACAAAGGAAAUUACCAGAGAAAUUGGUCAAGGGCUUCUCCAUUCAAAACAACCGUGGCCAGUGCCACAUCAAUGCAGUCAUUUUCCUUACCUUGAAAGGCAGAAAGGUGUGCGCUGACCCUACCAAAGACUGGGUGAUGGAGAGGAUCAAACAACUGAGGAACACAGUCAAAGAAAUGACCAGAAACGGCAGCCCAAAACAGGGUCAAUGAUAUCACUCUCCUCCGGGGUCAGGUGUUCGAUGACCUCAGCGGAACUGAAGCUCCUGCUGAACUGUGCCAAACAAAUUUAUUACAAUCUCUUAACUGUACUAAAGGAUCUUGUGUUUAAUUGUAAUGCUAACCUAGACGCUGAACUGUGCUGUAUGAUCUUAUCCACAUUUACUAUAGUAUUGUACUGAUUUUGUUAUAUAUGGAGUCACUCAUAUAAAUACAUUGUUUUUGUAAUAAAUUAAUAUUAUUCCAAAAAAUAGGUUUAUAUAUAACAUAUAAUAUAUUAAGUAUAUUAAAGUAUAUAUAAUGUACAUAGUAUGUUGUACUACCAAGUCUUUGGGAAUGAUUUUAUCUCAUUCAAAAGCAUAUCGUUUUUUAAAUAUUAAAGACAAAAGCUGUUAGUUAAAAAAAUAAACCAUGGCUCUUCAAUCAUCUAUCUUAGAAGAGCAUGUAUUGUGCAAUAUCUGGGGAACUAUGUGGCAAUCCUAAUAAAUCUUUACUUCUGCA